UUUGUUUAUUUUAUAAAUCUGAUUUACUAAAAUGAUAAUUUUGUUUUUAUAGUAAUUUGAUUAAUUUGUUUAUUGAACGAAUAAAUAGUUUGUUAAACUGACAUAAUAUUUUAUACUAAAAAAUAAAAAUCUUAGAAUAUUGUCCAAAUGUUAGCAUAUUUCAACGGCCAGUUCCCGCGACACUAAUUACAUUUAGUAAUUAGUAUUAUACAGAGUGGUCAGUGGACCACGACCGUGUUUUCCAGUUUUUGAAUUAUAGUAACCGUACAGAAAAAUAAGAGAAUAUAGAUACGAUGGUCCACCUAUAUGCAACAUACUAACACGUAGUACAUCAGCUUUCUUCGAAAAAAAAGUUUUUCUAAAUUAACAAUUAAAUUAUUUUAACUAUUCCAUCAAUUAUUAUGCACUAAACAUAAUUUUGUUGCCAACUGUGAACCACCAAAACUGAAACGUGCAUUCAUACAAUAUAUAUUUUUUAUUCGUAAAUUCGUAAACUGCGUAUUGUCAAUUUGAAAUGAAAAAAAAAAUUCCAACCCAAUAAAUCACAACAAUUGUCAAAAGAUUGGUGAACUACUAUAUAGUUUACUAAUGAUACUGUAGAAACGUAUACAUAUUAUGUAUGAUAUAAUAAUGUGAUAUAUAAAAAUACGAUAAAUAAUUAAAAAUCAAAUAAUGAAUAUUCAUAAA